rnacentral:rRNA from 1 species
UACAGAGGUCUCAAGCGUUGUUCGGAAUCAUUGGGCGUAAAGCGCGCGUAGGUGGCUUCGUAAGUCCGUUGUGAAAGUCAAAGGCUCAACCUUUGAAAGCCGAUGGAUACUGUGAAGCUAGAGUACGGAAGAGGCGAGUGGAAUUCCUGGUGUAGCGGUGGAAUGCGCAGAUAUCAGGAGGAACACCAAUAGCGAAGGCAGCUCGCUGGGACGUUACUGACACUGAGGCGCGAAAGCGUGGGGAGCGAACAGG